AUUGAACGCUGGCGGCAGGCCUAACACAUGCAAGUCGAACGAGUGGCGGACGGGUGAGUAAUGUCUGGGAAACUGACCGAUGGAGGGGGAUAACUACUGGAAACGGUAGCUAAUACCGCAUACCAUCGGAUGUGCCCAUAUGGGAUUAGCUAGUAGGUGGGGUAACGGCUCACCUCUGCUCCGAUCCCUAGCUGGUCUGCGAGGAUGCCCAGCCACACUGGAACUGAGACACGGUCCAGACUCCUACGGGAGGCAGCAGUGGGGAAUAUUGCACAAUGGGCGCAAGCCUGAUGCAGCCAUACCGCGUGUAUGAAGAAGGCCUUCGGGUUGUAAAGUACUUUCAGCGAGGAGGCGUUACUCGCAGAAGAAGCACCGGAUAAAGAAGGGCCAGCCGCCGCGGUAAUAC
rnacentral:rRNA from 1 species